UACGGAGGGUGCGAGCGUUGUCCGGAAUCAUUGGGCGUAAAGGGCGCGUAGGCGGCCUUCUAAGUCGAACGUGAAAUCCCCGGGCUCAACCCGGGAACUGCGUCCGAUACUGGAAGGCUUGAAUCCGGGAGAGGGAUGCGGAAUUCCAGGUGUAGCGGUGAAAUGCGUAGAUAUCUGGAGGAACACCGGUGGCGAAGGCGGCAUCCUGGACCGGUAUUGACGCUGAGGCGCGAAAGCUAGGGGAGCAAACAGG
rnacentral:rRNA from 1 species